AGGUCCACCACCAGUUGUAGUAGUCGAGUACAAACCACCAGGAGACCAAGUUCCACCUUUGCCAACUAAGCCGACUGAGGAGACCACCCCUCCAAUACCUGAGAAAGAGGCUCCAGCAGCUGAGACACAGUCAUUGCUCAAUAAAGGUGAGUUAUUUUUUCUUAUUAUUCUGCUAUAAGCUGAAAAGUUAUAGAUAGAAAUGGACUUUAUGAC